GCACCGCUGAGAAGUCCCGAAAUAGGACGAAACGGCCGUCCAGUGC
rfam:Schistosoma rodhaini strain Burundi genome assembly, scaffold: SROB_scaffold0012765